CGACUCCAGAGGCAAUUUGGAAUCUCGGCACGAAAUCGUCUGAUGAAAAUCUGAGGUGCCCGACGCAUAACAUUUUGAACGUGCCACGGAGGAUCAAGGCAAAAAACGAGAGCAAAAAAUGGUGCACGCUGAAGGCGGAAAUGAAGCAUGAUCUGGCUUGCAUCUGGUCAUGAAGAAAUUGCUGACACGUUAGUUGCAGUCCACCUCCACCAACAGGGUGGAAAACAAAGAUCGCCAUUCCGAUUAGCUGCUAUCUCCCAGUUCAAGCACUUUUGUGUCUGGACACUGGUUCCUGUGGAUGGGGUGUUACAAGCUUUACUGUCUGAUAUAGAAGUGAUGAGCAUCCAUAAGGACACAUGCCAGAAAGGGAGUCUCUCUGGGAUGACAAACCCUCAUCAC